rnacentral:rRNA from 1 species
GUGCUUAACACAUGCAAGUCGAACGAUGAAGCCCAGCUUGCUGGGUGGAUUAGUGGCGAACGGGUGAGUAACACGUGAGCAACCUGCCCCGGACUCUGGGAUAAGCGCUGGAAACGGUGUCUAAUACCGGAUAUGAGCUCCUGCCGCAUGGUGGGGGUUGGAAAGAUUUUUCGGUUCGGGAUGGGCUCGCGGCCUAUCAGCUUGUUGGUGAGGUAAUGGCUCACCAAGGCGUCGACGGGUAGCCGGCCUGAGAGGGUGACCGGCCACACUGGGACUGAGACACGGCCCAGACUCCUACGGGAGGCAGCAGUGGGGAAUAUUGCACAAUGGGCGGAAGCCUGAUGCAGCAACGCCGCGUGAGGGAUGACGGCCUUCGGGUUGUAAACCUCUUUUAGCAGGGAAGAAGCGAAAGUGACGGUACCUGCAGAAAAAGCGCCGGCUAACUACGUGCCAGCAGCCGCGGUAAUACGUAGGGCGCAAGCGUUAUCCGGAAUUAUUGGGCGUAAAGAGCUCGUAGGCGGUUUUGUCCGUCUGCUGUGAAAUCCCCGAGGCUCAAACCU